rnacentral:rRNA from 1 species
AAAAAGUAGAGAAGUCUGAGAUGUCACACUGCCGAGAAAAGCUUCUAGGAAGUAUUACACUGCCCGUACCGCAAACCGACACAGGUAGUCGAGUGGAGAACACUAAGGUGAGCGAGAGAACCCUCGUUAAGGAACUCGGCAAAAUGACCCCGUAACUUCGGGAGAAGGGGUGCUCAUUGUAAAAGAUGAGCCGCAGUGAAUAGGCCCAGGCGACUGUUUAUCAAAAACACAGGUUUCUGCAAAAUCGUAAGAUGAAGUAUAGGGGCUGACGCCUGCCCGGUGCUGGAAGGUUAAAAGGAGUGCUUAGCUUCGGCGAAGGUACGAAUUGAAGCCCCAGUAAACGGCGGCCGUAACAUUAACGGUCCUAAGGUAGCGAAAUUCCUUGUCGGGUAAGUUCCGACCCGCACGAAAGGCGUAACGAUCUGGGCACUGUCUCAACGAGGGACUCGGUGAAAUUUAAAUACCCGUGAAGAUGCGGGUUACCCGCGACAGGACGGAAAGACCCCAUGGAGCUUUACUGUAGCUUGAUAUUGAAUGUUUGUGCUGCUUGUACAGAAUAGGUAGGAGACGUUGAAGAUUGGACGCUAGUCUAGUCGGAGUCGAAAUGUGGGAUACUACCCUCGUUGUAUGAACAUUCUAACACUGGUCACUCAGCGUGAUCGUGGACAGUGUCUGGCGGGCAGUUUGACUGGGGCGGUCGCCUCCUAAAAGGUAACGGAGGCGCUCAAAGGUUUGCUCAGAAUGGUUGGAAAUCAUUCGUAGCGUGUAAAGGCAUAAGCAAGCUUGACUGUGAGAGCUACAACUCGAGCAGGUACGAAAGUAGGACUUAGUGAUCCGGUGGUUCCGCAUGGAAGGGCCAUCGCUCAACGGAUAAAAGCUACCCUGGAUAACAGGCUCAUCUCCCCCAAGAGUCCACAUCGACGGGGAGGUUUGGCACCUCGAUGUCGGCUCAUCGCAUCCUGGGGCUGUAGUCGGUCCCAAGGGUUGGGCUGUUCGCCCAUUAAAGCGGUACGCGAGCUGGGUUCAGAACGUCGUGAGACAGUUCGGUCCCUAUCCGUCGCGGGCGCAGGAAAUUUGAGAGGAGCUGUCCUUAGUACGAGAGGACCGGGAUGGACAUACCGCUGGUGUACCAGUUGUUCCGCCAGGAGCAUUGCUGGGUAGCUAUGUAUGGAUGAGAUAAACGCUGAAAGCAUCUAAGUGUGAAACUCGCCUCGAGAUGAGAUUUCCCAUCUAUUUAAUAGAGUAAGACCCCUUAGAGAUGAUGAGGUAGAUAGGCUAGAAGUGGAAGUUGAGUGAUCAAUGAAGCGGACUAGUACUAAUAGGUCGAGGACUUAAUC